GGUGGUGCAAUAGUUAGGCACUUGGCUGCUAACCAAAAUAUUGGUGGUUCAAAUCCACCAGCCACUC
rnacentral:tRNA from 1 species